AUGCUCACUCCAGCAGCACAUACAUUAAAAUUGGCAGGAUGCAGAGAAGAUCUGCAUGGGCCCUGUUCGAGGAUGACAUGCAAAUGUGUGAAAUGUUCCAUGUGUUU